UACGGAGGGAGCUAGCGUUGUUCGGAAUUACUGGGCGUAAAGCGCGCGUAGGCGGCUUUGUAAGUUAGAGGUGAAAGCCCGGGGCUCAACCCCGGAAUUGCCUUUAAGACUGCAUCGCUUGAAUCCGGGAGAGGUGAGUGGAAUUCCGAGUGUAGAGGUGAAAUUCGUAGAUAUUCGGAAGAACACCAGUGGCGAAGGCGGCUCACUGGACCGGCAUUGACGCUGAGGCGCGAAAGCUAGGGGAGCAAACGGG
rnacentral:rRNA from 1 species